GUUGCGAGCCCAGAACCGUGACGAGAACCUGCGGUCUUUGAGAUUGCGAAUCGGUGCAGAACCCUUCGGCCAGGGAUUGAAGAAGGAUCUCGGCUGGGAGCGCGCGCGAAGGGACUCGGCAUUCUUCGCGAUGCGUGUCGUAACGGAAUCGUAACGGUACCAACGGCUAAAACGAGGAUCCCGGCGGGCAGAGUUGCAAGCGUGAAAAGAAACGCUUCGUCGAUGGAGGCCGACUCCACGCGGCGCCGCUCGAGCAGGCGAGACGGGGCGAAGCGGAGGCGAGGAUGAGGCGAGGAUGAGUCGAUGAGGAGACGAGGGGAGUAAUCGUGUAAAAUAAAAAGGGAGCCAUGGCGUCGGGAAAACGGUAAAAAAGUCGGCUAGUCGGGAGGACGCGGAGAGAAAUAAAAGCGAUAUUUUUAUAUCCACGGGUGUAAGCUCGUCGGUGGCGGACGCCACCGGGCCUCGGCCUCUAUUAAUAUCCACGGGCCGGGCUUCCUUUCGGCCUCCGCAGCAAUUCUCUUUGCACCGGCGAACCAACGAUCGGCCACCGGAAAGAUAGGUUCCGAUCGGGAAAAAAGAAUCGGACAAUGGUCGACUUAACGGCGACCGCCGUGUCGCGCGACUCUUCCGACGAGGAUGAUCCACCGAAUCUUAUUCUACUUUUUUUCCCGUCAUGGCACUGAAAGAUAUUGUCAUGUAACCAGUUAGCUGUUCUUGACGAGCAUACUCGUCGCGAACAAACGGCAAUAUUUUGUGCUGCGACUGUUAUACUCGUCGUGCGCGAAAAUUAGCCGUUCAAAUUGCAAUUCUAGCGAUAACUAAAAUAUAUUAAAUACAAGAUUAUUAUUAUUUAUUAUAUAUUAAUAUUUAUUAUCUAUUAUAAAAUAUAUAAAUUUUUUAAGAUCUUUUGAAUACUCGGAGGCCCAGCUGAAAUAAAAGAAGCAAAUAGAAAGAUAUAAAUAAUUAUUAUGAAUAAAUUGCAUACAGUGUCUGGGUUAGGUCAUUGCUUACUUUUUACGGCGCAUGUUAGGUUUCGCUUUUCACGUUUCUCAAAAACGAUUGCAACAGCUAACUGGUUAAAAUCGUUGAUAAAGUAUAAUUUCAUAGGGAAAGAUUGAACGGCGCUCGCGCUAGUUGUUUUCAGUGCUCGGUAGUUCGAUCGUCGAGCUUGCAACGCAUAGCGUAAUGGUCGGAGAAUGUCGAAACCUUUCUCGACGCUAUCUGUUUUCAUUUUUCUAAUCGGAUGCACUCGAUAGCGCAUCGAUUGCGAGCGUAUCAACUAUCGUUAAUCGACGAUAAUGAUUCAAGCCCGGCGUGGAUCGUAAUCGUCGGUUUUCUAGCGCAACCGCAUUUUGUUCGGGUGGACGAGAGUGCUCGCCUUGCCCGAAUUCCGUUGGUCAGAAGUUUUUCGAGCUCGGAAGCUAGGAGACGAAAGCGUCGAACGUCUUUAUCGCGAGACGGUCGUCGCCGCUCGUGUCCGCGAAUGCACGGCCAGCCGCUGGCCUUGGCUGCAUUUGCAUUUGCGCGCAAAACGAACGAAAAAAGUAUAUCGCGAACGAGUUUCGUUGCCUUCCAGCCGGACAGCUCGAACAAUUGAACUGGUACUGGUAGUAGUCGCGGUGGAAAAACUCGUGGAUCGGCCGGGUCGAGGCGCACGAUGCAGGAUGCACGAUCGCGGGACAGAGAACAGCACGCCGGCCGAGAUCGGGAUCGCCGAGAUCGUGUCCGUCUAAUCGACGGGACGGGAGCGUGGCGAACCCCGUCGAAGCGACUUUUGUUAGCUCGGACGAAACGCAUUCGAGUGCCGUGUGCACCCGGUUUUCCCGCGAUCCCUUCGCCUCUCGAAACUUGUAUCUCCAAACUAUCUAGGCCAAAACACCCACGGCCACCCAAUUUCCGAGCGCGUUCUCAGCGGCUGUCUCAACGCCGACCGGCCGCCUUUUCCUGCUUCGACUUUUAGCAGCCGGGCUCGAUCGUUCGGGGACCAGUCCGGAGACUUUUUCACGUUCUUCGAACGAGACGUAACUGUUAUGCGAGACAUUUAAAUCGAAAUUAAAACAGCGCGAACUUGUGCACCGACCGGUUAGAAAUAAUUCAUACGCAACCGCUGACUCAACAAGAUUGAUUAUCUGUUUCGAAAUAGACCGUGGAUGUUUAUGCGGACUUACGCUUCGGUAUUCGAGCAUCGAAAAUCCAAUGUACAGUAGAUUCGUUUAGCCGUGCCGCGAAGAGCAGAAUUCCGACGAGACAUCCUCGCCAUGAAUCUUCGAGGAGGCUGCAAACGCGCGGAGAUCUAGUCGGGAAACGACGUAAACUUUAUCUACGUUGAUCGUGAACUUUCGCUACUGACCGACAACCGACUGUGCAUCUGCCGCGGAUGCAAUUGUGUCAAGAUUUAAUGGAACCUAUUGUUUGCAGGUCACCGGUAUCUACGUCGCGGAGGAUCCGCGGACCUUGGCGCAUGUUUCCGAGGAAAAUGGAGGAUCUCGUCCAGACCGAUAACCAGUCGAAUCUGUAAACAGACAACGUUGGCCGAGGAAGCAGCAUCGCGGUCGACGCAGGUGGAAUCGGCGAUUGGCAAGGGAAUCGGUGGAAGGUGUUGCCAAUCCGUUGCCAGAGCAUUCCUCGACGACCGUCGUCAACGAACCACCGGCCGAUUGAUACGAGAAUUUAUUGGCUAAAUAGAAUGAUUUCGAAGCGAGCCGCCUAGUCGAGGCGUCUAUCCGCUCCGAGUUAUCUGUCAAAGCGGAAUCGGCUCACCUUCUGGACGACGAGCGGGGUGCCGAAGUCCUUGCCGCCCUGCAGGCGAAAGCCCCACGGGGACCCGUCGAACCUGGACAGCUUCACGCUGAUCAGCUGGGCCAUAAUCACUGAUACGUCGUUUCACCUGGUCGACCAAUCAACAACCGAACCCUCGGCGUAAACUUUUGGACCUCGGUUCAGUCGACGGAAGAAGGAAGGCGGCGCGUGCGGGGAACCGAGCGAUUUGGCGGCGCGGAUACAACUGAAAAGCGGAGACGAGAAAGUCGCGAGGAGGUUGCACCGGUCGGUCACGGUUGACGUCUGGCUUGGCGAGGAGGCGGAAUCGCGCGCAGAUUAGCUAGAACCGAACUGAACCAAACGGAACCAAGCGGCGGCGAGGUAUAGCGACCAGACCAGACGAGGCGAGGCGAGGCAAGGCGAGGCGAGGCACGGCACGUACGUGCUCGAGGAACGCGCGGACCGGAGUAAAGGUACAACGAGACGAGACGACGAGGACGGUCAGUCGGGCAGCGGGGCCUGCCUGCCUUACUGCCUGGCUGCCUUCCUUCCUUCCAUCCGAUUCGACUGUGCCGCGGCAAAGGCCAUGGGGCGGGGAUGGGGAUAACACGCGGCAACGAACGAGACCGCGAUCCGGAAUCCCGUGGCGGAGGGGGCAGGGUGGGUGGAACAACCGCGACCCAGGGACCGGCGGAAACCGGUGGGCACCGAGGGGGACCAGGGGCGAGGAGAGACCAUUCUAAUGGAAAGAGGAAGCAAACUGUCCUCGGCAUCCAUCCGCAUGUUUCUCGUCUGUUGCGUAUCGUCUUAUGAAAAAUCCACCGGCUCGCCGCAAUUUUUCCACCUGCAUUGCACCCUGCUGAACCCAGAAGAAAAGCCCAAGGUGCAGCGACCUUACCUGCUCGUUCCACUGCAGUCCGAUAACGUCCCAUCGGCAAGCGUGUGAUAGUUUUCUAUCGGAGACCGAUGCGUUUUUGACAUUCCCCAAUAUCGUAGAGACGCAGCACCGCGGAUUCAGACCCGUGGAGUUGUUCAGAAUGUUAGAACAGUUCUCCGGUCCCGAUUGUACCCUGUUUACCAAAGAAAGAACCCAUACCCCACUCCAGUUCGAUAACAUGCCAUCCGCAGGAGUGGGAUCGAGAACGAACCAACGUGGUUUCGACGUGCGCCAAUUUCGCGAAGUAUCGUUCGGAUAGGGCUAUCGUAUACGAAAACUGCUGCACCUUACGACAUUCGUGCAGUUUCAGCUGGUAACGCGAAGAAGCACCUUGCUCGGCACCGGAUCCACCUAUGCGAUUCUCGGCGCGAUCGGAAGGACGAUCGAUCGAUUAGCGGGUAGCUCUCGGCUUGCUCGCGUGUCCUUGGCGCGGACGUUCGACUCGCGGCGCGCCAGGCCGCGCUUCUGUGGGAUGCGAGUCCGUUAACACCCCGUCGAGAGCGGAGUUCCGAUCGAUUGUCGUCGGACGUGUACGGGUUCGUGACUCGGGGGGGAUCGUGAACGGUGGACGCAAGGUUCGAGGCGUUGCCUCAGCGAACGCCUUUUCGCGUCUGGAUCGCGGUGCGCCGCGCCGCGCCUGGAUGAACCGAGAUUUUCGUGGUGUCGAGCGGUGUGACUGCAUUUUCUGCGCCGGUGGCGGUCACGAGGGCGCGAACUAGUUCGUGAAUCAUGCCUAGAAUGCUUUACAUAAAUUGCUCGGGGCCGACGUCACGUUCUCGGAGGCUGCGAGAGCGCGAGAGAACCCGGCGCGGACCGACGGCGAAAGAGGGAGAGGAGAGGAAAGAACGUUCUUUGGCCAGCAGGCAGACGUGACUCAGCUUCUCCCGGGUACGCGCGCGGAACACGAGACACGGGACACGGGACCAUGAAACCAUGGUACCGCGCGGGACACCGCGGAGUCUCCGCGUAGUCGCGGUGACUCGGAAACUCUGGAAAGGUGAAAGCACGCUCGCCGCUCGUCCGCGACUCAUCCGCGGCUAGAUUCCUCCUCGGAUAUCCGAUUCCGCGAAACGACGUUACGUUCGGCUGUAUCGUUGCGUCAACAGGAUGAUGCCAGAAAACGUGACCCAGAUAAAAGCGACGUUUCACCCGUGAUUCACAGUUUCGCGGACAUUCGUGACGUUUCUUCAUCGACUCGUCUCGAUCGAACUCGAAUAAUCUUAUUAGGUGCACGUCAAGACAGUCGGCUGGACGGUUCAAUGUUCGAAACGUGUCUAAACGAUCUCCAUUGGCCACGUCCUGGAGCCAAACGUGCAGCGUACGCCGCGUGGUUCGUCCGAACGUGUUCGCCGAAGGUGCGACUGGGAACUUUGCGCCGGUACACAUAAAGAGCAGACCGUAUUACGAAAAUGA